ACAUCUCUCUAUCGUCAUGGGAAUUGACCUUUGAUCCUACUACUGAAUCACUAAACCGGUGAUGUCAUUCAGAACAUAUGAGUGUUGGGACCUGCUUGCGACAAGUAAAGUGUAUCAGAGGAAAGUCCACCCUGUUGGAAAUCUUAACAGACCUUUGUGUCUUUUUGCGUUUAACAAUAUCUAAAUGGUUUGGGAUUUUUAUAUAUUCUAAGGAAGACUAUUUGCAACUUUCAACAGAGAGAGAGAUCCUAGAGAUCCACUCAGGAGGAACUGCCAUAUUUGAUAGAGCCAUACUAUAACAUUAGCUGUACAUUGAAGGUAGCAUAUUAAAGCUUACUGGGUGACCAACCUGAGCCUAUCAAAUUACACCUCUUCAUACAGUAGCCAGACAGUAGCUUCACUGAUCUAUCUGCCAUGGAAGGUGUGACAGGUGUAUAUGAGCCGGUGCAGCACCAUUGGUUCCACUGCCAGAAUCCGGUGGACUGUAGAAGCUCCUGGAUCCCAUUCAGCAGAGAGGAUUCUCUACGGCUGGAGGAGACACACAA